rnacentral:lncRNA from 1 species
CUAACGGCUUCUCGAUUUUUGUGGGAUUUUAUCAGAGAGCGGUCGGAGCUAUAUACGCCCGUCGAUGCGUAUAUACACACAUAUACACAUAUAUAAUAUGAGCUUGCGAGGCGGAAAGAGAAGCAAGCAAUGAGA